UUCUAAUGAUAUAAUAUGCAUGUGUCUCUAUUGAUAUAACACAUAUAUGUUCCUAAUGGCUGUUGGUUAUCUAUAAUGGUUGUUGGUUAUUAUCCGGUUUUAACAUAUAUAUUAGAUGAUCAAUAUUAAUUUAUACUUGAGUAAGAUAACAUGUAUGUUUCACUAAUAAUGUUGUUGAUAUCCAAUAAAUUUGAUAGUGUAUACUAAUUAUGUGGAUAUCAUUAUUCUUAGUUAGUGUUGUCAAUCAAUGGUCGGAUAUCACUAUAAACCUGAAACCAAAAAUGUUAUAAGUAAGUAAUUUAUAUAGUGUUUGUUGGUUCAUUAAAAAAAAAAUAGAAUACAUUUGGUGCAAUAUAAUUAUCCUGUUAAAAUCGUACAUCAAAAUUGAAAAAAUCUAUAAGUUUGGGACCACAAAGUGAUUACACAUAAACUAAUAAAACUCAACACAUUAAAAAAUACACGAGAAGAUUCAAGGAUGAGACUGAUAAACACAGGCAACAGUCUCCUUGUCAAGUCACCCCCAAUAUUUUUGUUCUCUCGGCAACUAGAAACAU
rnacentral:lncRNA from 1 species